rnacentral:rRNA from 1 species
UACGUAGGGGGCUAGCGUUGUCCGGAAUCAUUGGGCGUAAAGCGCGCGUAGGCGGCCCGGUAAGUCCGUUGUGAAAGUCAAAGGCUCAACCUUUGAAAGCCGAUGGAUACUGCCGGGCUGGAGUCCGGAAGAGGCGAGUGGAAUUCCUGGUGUAGCGGUGGAAUGCGCAGAUAUCAGGAGGAACACCAAUAGCGAAGGCAGCUCGCUGGGACGGUACUGACGCUGAUGCGCGAAAGCCAGGGGAGCAAACGGG